rnacentral:rRNA from 1 species
GACGAACGCUGGCGGCGUGCUUAACACAUGCAAGUCGAACGGAAAGGCCCUGCUUUUGUGGGGUGCUCGAGUGGCGAACGGGUGAGUAACACGUGAGUAACCUGCCCUUGACUUUGGGAUAACUUCAGGAAACUGGGGCUAAUACUGGAUAGGAGCUCCUGCUGCAUGGUGGGGGUUGGAAAGUUUCGGCGGUUGGGGAUGGGCUCGCGGCUUAUCAGCUUGUUGGUGGGGUAGUGGCUUACCAAGGCUUUGACGGGUAGCCGGCCUGAGAGGGUGACCGGCCACAUUGGGACUGAGAUACGGCCCAGACUCCUACGGGAGGCAGCAGUGGGGAAUAUUGCACAAUGGGCGGAAGCCUGAUGCAGCAACGCCGCGUGCGGGAUGACGGCCUUCGGGUUGUAAACCGCUUUCGCCUGUGACGAAGCGUGAGUGACGGUAAUGGGUAAAGAAGCACCGGCUAACUACGUG